rnacentral:rRNA from 1 species
CCUACGGGAGGCUGCAGUGGGGAAUAUUGGACAAUGGGCGAAAGCCUGAUCCAGCCAUGCCGCGUGUGUGAAGAAGGCCUUCGGGUUGUAAAGCACUUUCAGUGGGGAAGAAAGCCUUGGGGCUAAUACCCUCGAGGAAGGACAUCACCCACAGAAGAAGCACCGGCUAACUCCGUGCCAGCAGCCGCAGUAAUACGGAGGGUGCGAGCGUUAAUCGGAAUUACUGGGCGUAAAGCGCGCGUAGGCGGUCUGAUAAGCCGGUUGUGAAAGCCCCGGGCUCAACCUGGGAACGGCAUCCGGAACUGUCAGGCUAGAGUGCAGGAGAGGAAGGUAGAAUUCCCGGUGUAGCGGUGAAAUGCGUAGAGAUCGGGAGGAAUACCAGUGGCGAAGGCGGUCUUCUGGACUGACACUGACGCUGAGGUGCGAAAGCGUGGGUAGCAAACAGGAUUAGAUACCCUAGUAGUC